AGGACGAACGCUGGCGGCGCGCUUAACACAUGCAAGUCGAACGUGAAGCUGGAGCUUGCUCCGGUGGAAAGUGGCGAACGGGUGCGUAACACGUGAGCAACCUGCCCCGAAGACUGGGAUAACACCGGGAAACCGGUGCUAAUACCGGAUACCUUCUUCCGAUCGCAUGGUUGGAUGAAGAAAUGGAUUCCGCUUCGGGAUGGGCUCGCGGCCUAUCAGCUUGUUGGUGAGGUAACGGCCCACCAAGGCGACGACGGGUAGCUGGUCUGAGAGGACGACCAGCCACACUGGGACUGAGACACGGCCCAGACUCCUACGGGAGGCAGCAGUGGGGAAUCUUGCUCAAUGGGCGAAAGCCUGAAGCAGCGACGCCGCGUGCGGGAUGAAGGCCCUCGGGUUGUAAACCGCUUUCAGCAGGGACGAAAUUGACGGUACCUGCAGAAGAAGGCCCGGCCAACUACGCUCCAGCAGCCGCGGUAA
rnacentral:rRNA from 1 species